rnacentral:lncRNA from 1 species
UGUGUGAGAGAGUGUGUGUGAGUAUGUGAGUGUGUGUGUGAGAGAGUGUGUUGUGUGUGUAUGUGUGUGAGUAUGUGAGUGUGUGUAUGUGUGUGUAUGUGAAUGUGAGUGUAUGAGUGUGUGUGUGUGAGAGUGUGUGUGAUUAUGUGUGUGAGAGUGUGUGUGAUUAUGUGUGUGAGUGUGAGAGUGUGUGUGAGAGUGUGUGUGAGUAUGUGAGAGAGUGUGUUGUGUGCGUGUGAUUAUGUGUGUGAGUAUGUGAGUGUGUGUAUGUGAGAGUGUGUGUGAGUGUGUGUAUGUGAAUGUGAGUGUAUGAGUGUGUGUGUGAGUGUGUGUGUGAGUGUGUGAGUGUGUGUGAGAGAGAGUGUGUGAGUGUGUGUGUUAGUGUGUGUAUGUGUGAGCAUGAGAGUUUGUGUGAGAGUGUGUGUAUGUGUGUGAGUGUGAGACUGUGUGUGUGUGAGAGUGUAUAUGUGAGUAUGUGAGUGUGUAAGAUUGUGUGUAUGUGAGUGUGUAUGAGUGUGUAUUUGUGUGAGUGUGAGAGUGUGUGUUAGUGUGUGAGUGAGUGUGAGAGUGUAUGAGUGUGAGUGUGUGUGUGUGAGAGUGUGCGUGUAUUGUGUGAGGGUGAGUGUGUGUGUGAGUGUGUGAGGGUGAGAGUGUGUGUGUGUCUGAGUGCGUAUGUGAGAGUGAGAGAGUGUGUGUGUGAGUGUGUAUAUGUGAGUGUGAGUGUGUGAGAGAGUGUGUAAGAUUGUGUGUGAGUAUGUGAGUGUGUAUGAGUGUGAGUGUGUGUAUGUGUGUGAGUGUGAGAGUGUGUGUGUUAGUGUGUGUGAGAGUGUAUGAGUGUGAGUGUGUGUGAGAGUGUGCGUGUAUGUGUGUGAGGGUGAGUGUGUGUGUGUGAGGGUGAGAGUGUGUGUGUCUCUGUGUGAGUGUGUAAGUGUGUGUGUGAGGGUGAGUGUGUAUGAGUGUGCGUGGGCACGUGUGGUACGGAGGGCAGAGCAGGGAGAGCUUAGUCCUGGAUUCCUGGGUUUGGUGAACGGGUUUCACAUCUGUAAGCAGCAUUUAGUCCUGUGAAGGCCCAGAGAGGUGAGGUCGCCUCUCCAAGGCUGCCCAGCUAGGAAGGUGGCACAGAGGUGCUCAGAGCUGAACCUUUGCCCCCGUCAUUGAGGGUCCUCAUCUGGCUUCCUGACUUGGCCUCUCGCCUUGCAAAAUUGUGAACCAGUCCCCAGGUGUGGUCACUGACUUGCUCUGACCACGUCCGUGGGGACUUCCCCACAGUGCUGGUGGCCGCUGUUCUACCCGACCUCAGGAGGCGGAGAUGGACAUCAGUGUGCACCAAGGUCAGCU